AAGUCGUAACAAGGUUUCCGUAGGUGAACCUGCGGAAGGAUCAUUAUCAGAAACCCGAUCGGUUCCGGGAGGGGGAAACCCCCCUUCCGGGCUUUCGACCCUUUCAACACCCGUUGUGCACUCGCUGUAGGUCCCUCGGGAUCUACGUCUCCCUUCGAACUCGCAUGUCUACAGAAUGUAUGCUUCGCGUCUCGGCCUCGACCCCCAGGGUCCCGCGUCGAAGACCGUAAAAAUCAAUACAACUUUCAGCAACGGAUCUCUUGGCUCUCGCAUCGAUGAAGAACGCAGCGAAUCGCGAUAAGUAAUGUGAAUUGCAGAUUUUCCGUGAAUCAUCGAAUCUUUGAACGCACCUUGCGCUCCUCGGUAUUCCGAGGAGCAUGCCUGUUCGAGUGUCAUCGAAAUCUCGAAUCGAAGCUUGGACCUCGGUCCGAGCUUCGUUCGGACGGUGGGAGUCUGCGGGCGAGCUUUGCUACGUCUGCUCUCCUCAAAAGCAUUAGCCGUGGACGCCAGCCUCGCAUGGCACGGCCUCUUCGACGUCAUAAUGAUCGUCGCGGGCUGGAAGUGCGAGGCAGGACCGACCACGCUUCCCUAGACUGUGCGAGCCCGUCCUUCUCGGGAAACGGCCGCACCCCAAUCGAUGCUUGGGAACCUCGAAUCAGGUAGGACUACCCGC
rnacentral:rRNA from 1 species